rnacentral:rRNA from 1 species
GACAGAGGGUGCGAACGUUGUUCGGAAUUACUGGGCGUAAAGAGCGUGUAGGCGGCUUGGCAAGUCCGCUGUGAAAACUCGAGGCUCAACCUCGAGACGUCGGUGGAAACUGCCUGGCUAGAGUCCGGAAGAGGAGUGUGGAAUUCCUGGUGUAGCGGUGAAAUGCGCAGAUAUCAGGAAGAACACCUAUGGCGAAGGCAGCACUCUGGGACGGUACUGACGCUGAGACGCGAAAGCGUGGGGAGCGAACAGG